rnacentral:rRNA from 1 species
GUCCCAGACUCCUACGGGAGGCAGCAGUCGGGAAUAUUGCGCAAUGGAGGAAACUCUGACGCAGUGACGCCGCGUAUAGGAAGAAGGUUUUCGGAUUGUAAACUAUUGUCAUUAGGGAAGAAAAAAGACAGUACCUAAGGAGGAAGCUCCGGCUAACUACGUGCCAGCAGCCGCGGUAAUACGUAGGGAGCGAGCGUUAUCCGGAAUUAUUGGGUGUAAAGGGUGCGUAGACGGGAAAAUAAGUUAGUUGUGAAAUCCCUCGGCUCAACUGAGGAACUGCAGCUAAAACUGUAUUUCUUGAGUGCAGGAGAGGAAAGUGGAAUUCCUAGUGUAGCGGUGAAAUGCGUAGAUAUUAGGAGGAACACCAGUGGCGAAGGCGACUUUCUGGACUGUAACUGACGUUGAGGCACGAAAGUGUGGGGAGCAAACAGGAUUAGAUACCCCGGUACU